GUUUACGGCCAUACCAGCCUGGGUACGCCCGAUCUCGUCUGAUCUCGGAAGCUAAGGAGAGUCGGGCCUGGUUAGUACUUGGAUGGGAGACCGCCUGGGAAUACCAGGUGCUGUAAGCU
rnacentral:rRNA from 1 species